rnacentral:rRNA from 1 species
CCUACGGGAGACAGCAGUGAGGAAUAUUGGUCAAUGGGCGUAAGCCUGAACCAGCCAAGUCGCGUGAGGGAUGAAGGUUCUAUGGAUCGUAAACCUCUUUUAUAAGGGAAUAAAGUGUGGGACGUGUCCUGUUUUGUAUGUACCUUAUGAAUAAGGAUCGGCUAACUCCGUGCCAGCAGCCGCGGUCAUACGGAGGAUCCGAGCGUUAUCCGGAUUUAUUGGGUUUAAAGGGUGCGUAGGCGGCCUUUUAAGUCAGCGGUGAAAGUCUGUGGCUCAACCAUAGAAUUGCCGUUGAAACUGGGAGGCUUGAGUAUGUUUGAGGCAGGCGGAAUGCGGGGUGUAGCGGUGAAAUGCUUAGAUAUCACGCAGAACCCCGAUUGCGAAGGCAGCCUGCCAAGCCAUGACUGACGCUGAGGCACGAAAGCGUGGGGAUCAAACAGGAUUAGAUACCCCAGUAGUC